GUUAAGGUAAGCUAAUUCAAGCUAUUGGGCUCAUGACCCAACAAUGCAAGGCUAAACUCCUGCCCCUAACA
rnacentral:tRNA from 1 species